UUAAAUAUAUUUGAAUGAAGAGUUUGAUCCUGGCUCAGGAUGAACGCUGACAGAAUGCUUAACACAUGCAAGUCGAUUCGAUUUACCUUCGGGUAUUGAGGAUGGCGGACGGGUGAGUAACGCGUAAGGAACUUGCCUCUUGGUCUGGGACAACUGUUGGAAACGACAGCUAAUACCGGAUAUUAUGAGAUUCUCGCAUGGGAAACUUAUGAAAGCUAUAUGCGCCAAGAGAGAGCCUUGCGUUCCAUUAGCUAGUUGGUGGGGUAAUGGCCCACCAAGGCGACGAUGGAUAGCCGGCCUGAGAGGGUGAACGGCCACAAGGGGACUGAGACACGGCCCUUACUCCUACGGGAGGCAGCAGUGGGGAAUAUUGGACAAUGGGCCACAAGCCUGAU
rnacentral:rRNA from 1 species